rnacentral:tRNA from 1 species
GAUGUAGCUCAGUGUUAGAGUACUUGCCUAGCAUGUAAGAGGCCCUGGGUUCAAUCCCCAGCAAAACA